GACGAACGCUGGCGGCGUGCUUAACACAUGCAAGUCGAACGCUGAAGCUCAGCUUUUGUUGGGUGGAUGAGUGGCGAACGGGUGAGUAACAGGUGAGUAACCUGCCCCCUUCUUUGGGAUAACGCCCGGAAACGGGUGCUAAUACUGGAUAUUCACUGGUCUUCGCAUGGGGGUUGGUGGAAAGGGUUUUUCUGGUGGGGGAUGGGCUCGCGGCCUAUCAGCUUGUUGGUGGGGUGAUGGCCUACCAAGGCUUUGACGGGUAGCCGGCCUGAGAGGGUGACCGGUCACAUUGGGACUGAGAUACGGCCCAGACUCCUACGGGAGGCAGCAGUGGGGAAUAUUGCACAAUGGGCGCAAGCCUGAUGCAGCGACGCCGCGUGAGGGAUGGAGGCCUUCGGGUUGUGAACCUCUUUCGCUCAUGGUCAAGCCGCAACAAUGGUUGUGGUGAGGGUAGUGGGUAAAGAAGCGCCGGCUAACUACGUG
rnacentral:rRNA from 1 species